UACGUAGGGGGCAAGCGUUGUCCGGAAUUAUUGGGCGUAAAGAGCGUGUAGGCGGCCAGACAAGUCCGCUGUGAAAAUCUCGAGGCUCAACUUCGAGCUGUCGGUGGAAACUGUCUGGCUAGAGUCCGGAAGAGGAGAAUGGAAUUCCUGGUGUAGCGGUGAAAUGCGCAGAUAUCAGGAAGAACACCCGUGGCGAAGGCGGCUCUCUGGAACGCAACUGACGCUGAGACGCGAAAGCGUGGGGAGCAAACAGG
rnacentral:rRNA from 1 species